UUCAUUUCACCUCCAUGAAAAUCAAUUUUUUUUCAUUUGAUUUUCCUUGUUUUCAUUUCAUUUCCUUUCUUUUCUUACUUCUUUCUUCUCCUAACGUCUUGGGCACCAAACCUGCAGCUUCUAACCCCAUUUUCUAGUACAACCAAACCCUAGGAGAGAGAAGGAAAAAAUCUCUCUUUCUUUCCUUUAUUUUCUAUUUCUACUCCACCAUCACCGACACUUGAAUUUUCAACUUUAAAUCUCCAUUUUUUAGGCUAAAAGGUAUAUAAUUUUAACUCCUGGAAUUUAUGAAUUUAUGGGUUAUAUUUUCAGAUUUUAUUUCCUAAUUUCUUCAAAUUCUUUUUCUUGGAAAUAUUAGGUUUUUGUUGAUCUUUAUGCCUCCAAG
rnacentral:lncRNA from 1 species